rnacentral:rRNA from 1 species
ACGGAAGGCAGCAGUCGGGAAUAUUGCGCAAUGGAGGAAACUCUGACGCAGUGACGCCGCGUGCAGGCAGAAGGUUUUCGGAUUGUAAACUGCUUUAGACAGGGAAGAAAAAGACAGUACCUGUAGAAUAAGCUCCGGCUAACUACGUGCCAGCAGCCGCGGUAAUACGUAGGGGGCAAGCGUUAUCCGGAUUUAUUGGGUGUAAAGGGUGCGUAGACGGUAAAUUAAGUUAGUUGUGAAAUCCCCCGGCUUAACUGGGGAACUGCACCUAAAACUGGUUUUCUUGAGUACUGGAGAGGAAAGCGGAAUUCCUAGUGUAGCGGUGAAAUGCGUAGAUAUUAGGAGGAACACCAGUGGCGAAGGCGGCUUUCUGGACAGAAACUGACGUUGAUGCACGAAAGUGUGGGGAGCAAACAGGAUUAGAUACCCUGGUA